CUGCACCUUCAGUUUGCAGUCCUUACCCAAGGUCACACCUCUGUUCACGUUUAAAGUCGACAUGUGGACCCUUGGACCGCUCACUCUGCAUGGACACACUGCUGGAUACAGGGUGAUGUCCAUCUUUGAGGUCAACAUGUGGACCCUUGGACCAAUCGCUCUCCAUGGAGACACAGCUGGGUACAGGUGAUAGUUUGUGGGACCCAGGAAGACCGGAUACCUGCAUGUCUACCAACUUGCAUUGCAGUUUCUGUGCAAUGCCACCUCUUCUGUUCCGUGGGAGAGGAUUUUCUCUAAGGCAGGAGAAAUUAUCUCCAAGAAAACAGACUCGGCCAUCGCACAGUGGAACAAAUUCUCUUCUUAAAUAAAAACC
ensembl:lncRNA